GACGAACGCUGGCGGCGUGCUUAACACAUGCAAGUCGAACGGAAAGGCUCUGCUUUUGUGGGGUGCUCGAGUGGCGAACGGGUGAGUAACACGUGAGUAACCUGCCCUUGACUUUGGGAUAACUUCAGGAAACUGGGGCUAAUACCGGAUAGGAGCUCCUGCUGCAUGGUGGGGGUUGGAAAGUUUCGGCGGUUGGGGAUGGACUCGCGGCUUAUCAGCUUGUUGGUGGGGUAGUGGCUUACCAAGGCUUUGACGGGUAGCCGGCCUGAGAGGGUGACCGGCCACAUUGGGACUGAGAUACGGCCCAGACUCCUACGGGAGGCAGCAGUGGGGAAUAUUGCACGAUGGGCGGAAGCCUGAUGCAGCAACGCCGCGUGCGGGAUGACGGCCGUCGGGUUGUAAACCGCUUUCGCCUGUGACGAAGCGUGAGUGACGGUAAUGGGUAAAGAAGCACCGGCUAACUACGUG
rnacentral:rRNA from 1 species